CCUCUACUGAUCAUGCUGAGGGCUCUGCCUGUCUACAAGCUCCAACAAACACCUGAGAACCUCGACUGGUGCAAGCUUUGCUGAAUGAUCAUUUCUACUCUGAGAAGGACCAGAUUGACAGAAGACUGUGCUUGGUGCUGUCCAGUGGGAUUCUCAAUGAGAAACAAGAGACUGCUAUCUUGAUCAUCCGGUAGAGCUGGUAACCAGUACUAUGCACUAUAUGAAUCUGAUUGGCCUAAUUUUUAAAUAAUGUAAAGCAUUCACUGCUACUAGCAGUGUG